rnacentral:rRNA from 1 species
GUCUUUUUGAAAAUAAUUUAAAGUCAAAUCUGCUCAAUGAAAAUUUUUAAAUAGCUGCAGAAUUUUAACUGUACAAAGGUAGCAUAAUCAAUAGUUUUUUAAUUGAAAGCUGGAAUGAAAGAUUUGAUAAGGUAAAUAUUGUCUCAAUUUUAAUAAUUUUAUAAUUUUUAUUUUAGUUAAAAUACUAAAGUAAUUUUAAAAGACGAGAAGACCCUAUAGAUUUUAAUAUUUAAUUUUAAAUAAAUUUAAAUUAAAUUAAUAAUAUUUAAAAAAAAAAAUAUUUGGUUGGGGAAAUUAUUAAAUUUAAAAAAUUUUAAUAAAAAUUAAACAAUAAUUAUAGAAUAUUUGAUCUUAAAUUAAAAUUAAUAGAAUAAAAUACCUUAGGGAUAACAGCGUAAUUUUUUUGGAGAGAUCAUAUUGAUAAAAAAGUUUGCGACCUCGAUGUUGAAUUAAGAUAAAAUUUUAAUGUAGAAAUUAAAAAUUUUUGGUCUGUUCGACCAUUAAAAUCUUACGUGA